UACAGAGGUCUCAAGCGUUGUUCGGAUUCAUUGGGCGUAAAGGGUGUGUAGGUGGCGCCGUAAGUCGGGUGUGAAAUUUCGGAGCUUAACUCCGAAACUGCAUUCGAUACUGCGGUGCUUGAGGACUGGAGAGGAGACUGGAAUUCAUGGUGUAGCAGUGAAAUGCGUAGAGAUCAUGAGGAAGACCAGUGGCGAAGGCGGGUCUCUGGACAGUUCCUGACACUAAGACACGAAAGCGUGGGGAGCAAACAGG
rnacentral:rRNA from 1 species